AACGCACAUUGCGCCCCUUGGUAUUCCGAGGGGCAUGCCUGUUCGAGCGUCAUUAUGACCACUCAAGCCUGGCUUGGUAUUGGGGUUCGCGGUCCCGCGGCUCUUAAAAUCAGUGGCGGCGCCAUCUGGCUCUAAGCGUAGUAAUCUUUCUCGCUACAGGGUCCCGGUGGAUGCUUGCCAACAACCCCCUAUUUUCUUAGGUUGACCUCGGAUCAGGUAGGGAUACCCGCUGAACUUAA
rnacentral:misc_RNA from 1 species